AUGUGUCAUCCUGGCGACAGCGAGUGGGACGAAGUAGACCCCGUAACUAGCCCAAAAUCUGGAAAGCGAAUGGGUCUUGGGGAGGCUGAGAUGGCAGCGCGAUUGUUGGAAAGCGUGGAUCAAU
rnacentral:ribozyme from 1 species